rnacentral:rRNA from 1 species
UCUGGGCUAAUACCCCGGGGGGAUGACGGUACCGGAAGAAGAAGCACCGGCUAACUACGUGCCAGCAACCGCGGUAAUACGUAGGGUGCGAGCGUUAUCCGGAAUUAUUGGGCGUAAAGAGCUCGUAGGCGGUUUGUCGCGUCUGUCGUGAAAGUCCGGGGCUUAACCCCGGAUCUGCGGUGGGUACGGGUAGACUAGAGUGCAGUAGGGGAGACUGGAAUUCCUGGUGUAGCGGUGGAAUGCGCAGAUAUCAGGAGGAACACCGAUGGCGAAGGCAGGUCUCUGGGCUGUAACUGACGCUGAGGAGCGAAAGCAUGGGGAGCGAACAGGAUUAGAUACCCUGGUAGUCCAUGCCGUAAACGUUGGGCACUAGGUGUGGGGACCAUUCCACGGUUUCCGCGCCGCAGCUAACGCAUUAAGUGCCCCGCCUGGGGAGUACGGCCGCAAGGCUAAAACUCAAAGGAAUUGACGGA